rnacentral:rRNA from 1 species
AUUGAACGCUGGCGGCAGGCCUAACACAUGCAAGUCGAGCGGAUGAAGGGAGCUUGCUCCUGGAUUCAGCGGCGGACGGGUGAGUAAUGCCUAGGAAUCUGCCUGGUAGUGGGGGAUAACGUCCGGAAACGGGCGCUAAUACCGCAUACGUCCUGAGGGAGAAAGUGGGGGAUCUUCGGACCUCACGCUAUCAGAUGAGCCUAGGUCGGAUUAGCUAGUUGGUGGGGUAAAGGCCUACCAAGGCGACGAUCCGUAACUGGUCUGAGAGGAUGAUCAGUCACACUGGAACUGAGACACGGUCCAGACUCCUAAGGGAGGCAGCAGUGGGGAAUAUUGGACAAUGGGCGAAAGCCUGAUCCAGCCAUGCCGCGUGUGUGAAGAAGGUCUUCGGAUUGUAAAGCACUUUAAGUUGGGAGGAAGGGCAGUAAGUUAAUACCUUGCUGUUUUGACGUUACCAACAGAAUAAGCACCGGCUAACCUCGUG